AGGAUGAACGCUGGCGGCGUGCUUAACACAUGCAAGUCGAACGAUGAAGCAGAGCUUGCUCUGUGGAUUAGUGGCGAACGGGUGAGUAACACGUGAGUAACCUGCCCUUGACUCUGGAAUAAGCGUUGGAAACGACGUCUAAUACCGGAUACGAGCUUCCGCCGCAUGGUGAGGAGCUAGGAAAGAAUUU
rnacentral:rRNA from 1 species